rnacentral:tRNA from 1 species
AGGUCAACCGGCAUUCCGCGCUCACUCGUAAUGAGAAGGUCGCGAGUUCGAUUCUCGCAGGCGGCUCCA